GACGAACGCUGGCGGCGUGCUUAACACAUGCAAGUCGAACGGAAAGGCCCUGCUUUUGUGGGGUGCUCGAGUGGCGAACGGGUGAGUAACACGUGAGUAACCUGCCCUUGACUUUGGGAUAACUUCAGGAAACUGGGGCUAAUACCGGAUAGGAGCUCCUGCUGCAUGGUGGGGGUUGGAAAGUUUCGGCGGUUGGGGAUGGACUCGCGGCUUAUCAGCUUGUUGGCGGGGUAGUGGCUUACCAAGGCUUUGACGGGUAGCCGGCCUGAGAGGGUGACCGGCCACAUUGGGACUGAGAUACGGCCCAGACUCCCACGGGAGGCAGCAGUGGGAAAUAUUGCACAAUGGGCGGAAGCCUGAUGCAGCAACGCCGCGUGCGGGAUGACGGCCUUCGGGUUGUAAACCGCUUUCGCCUGUGACGAAGCGUGAGUGACGGUAAUGGGUAAAGAAGCACCGGCUAACUACGUG
rnacentral:rRNA from 1 species